CAAAACCUAUCAUAGUGGCUAAACCUGGCCAUUACAGCUGUCAAUGAUUUCUUCUAGAAAAAUGCAGUUUAUAGUUGGACCGUGGAAAUUACAGCCGUUGAGAGAGGGAGGAAGGAGAGGGAAAUCACGAGGAAAUAGACUUGAAAGAGAGAGAAGUUAUAACUUGUUAGCGUUUCAAAGUUGGCAAUGUAUGAUCACGAAUCGGUGCUCCCUCAUGACUUCGAUCCGCUUUCUGGUAACCUCGUGAGCUGGGAUCUCGUACCACAAAACAAAACAAGAGCAAGCAAACGGUAAACACCAAC
rnacentral:lncRNA from 1 species